GACGAACGCUGGCGGUGUGCUUCACACAUGCAAGUCGAGCGAAUGAAGAAGGUAGCUUGCUACUUUUGGAUUUAGCGGCGGACGGGUGAGUAAUAUAUAGGAAUCUGCCCUAGAGCGGGGAACAACAGACCGAAAGGUUUGCUAAUGCCCCAUAGGUACGCAGUCUUCGGAUUGUUUAUUAAAGGAGUAAUCCACUCUAGGAUGAGCCUGUAUCCGAUUAGCUAGUUGGCGGGGUAAAGGCCCACCAAGGCUACGAUCGGUAGUUGGUCUGAGAGGAUGAUCAGCCACAAUGGGACUGAGACACGGCCCAUACUCCUACGGGAGGCAGCAGUGGGGAAUUUUACACAAUGGGGGAAACCCUGAUGUAGCGACACCGCGUGAACGAAGAAGCCUUUUGGGGUGUAAAGUUCUGUCGGCUGGAACGAAAAAAAUGACGGUACCAGCAAAGGAAGCAUCGGCUAACUACGUG
rnacentral:rRNA from 1 species